rnacentral:ncRNA from 1 species
GAAGGCACGAUGAAGAGGACAGUAUCCUAAUCGUUCGCAUUUAGAGAGAAAUGCCCUGGGCUGUGAGCAUUUUUGCGAUAUUUGGGAAAAGACCGCCUCCGAGUUCCUCGCCGAACAUGAUUUGCGUAGGCUGGACGUUUAUCCGCGUUAAGGAUGCCAAGGAAAAUUAGCUGCCGGUAUAGUAGGCGGUCAUAUUUUUGAAUUUGGGUGGAACCACGGGUUUCUAUCGCUCUCGUCCCAUAG